AUACGUAGGUGGCAAGCGUUAUCCGGAUUUACUGGGUGUAAAGGGCGUGUAGGCGGGGUUGCAAGGUGGAUGUGAAAUCCUCAGGCUUAACCUGAGAGGGUCAUCCAAAACUGCAGAUCUUGAGUACUGGAGAGGAUAGUGGAAAUCCUAGUGUAGAGGUAAAAUGCGUAGAUAUUAGGAGGAACACCAGUGGCGAAGGCGACUAUCUGGACAGUAACUGACGCUGAGGCGCGAAAGCGUGGGGAGCAAACAGGAUUAGAUACCCUGGUAGUCCACGCGGUAAACGAUGAAUACUAGGUGUCGGGGGGCGAAGCUCUUCGGUGCCGAAAGCAAACGCAGUAAGUAUUCCACCUGGGGAGUACGUUCGCAAGAAUGAAACUCAAAUGAAUUGGCGGGG
rnacentral:rRNA from 1 species